CCUACGGGUGGCAGCAGUGAGGAAUAUUGGUCAAUGGGCGCGAGCCUGAACCAGCAAAGUAGCGUGAAGGAUGACUGCCCUACGGGUUGUAAACUUCUUUUAUAAAGGAAUAAAGUGAGGCAAGAGUGCCUUUUUGUAUGUACUUUAUGAAUAAGGAUCGGCUAACUCCGUGACAGCAGCCGAGGUAAUACGGAGGAUCCGGGCGUUAUCCGGAUUUAUUGGGUUUAAAGGGAGCGUAGGUGGGUUGUUAAGUCAGUUGUGACAGUUUGAGGCUCAACCGGUAAAUUGGAAUUGGUAAUGGCCGUCUUGAGUACAGUUGAGGCAGGCGGAAUUCGUGGUGUAGCGGUGAAAUGCUUAGAUAUCACGAAGAACUCCGAUUGCGAAGGCAGCUUACUAAACUGCCACUGACAUUGAUGCUCGAAAGUGUGGGUAUCAAACAGGAUUAGAUACCCGUGUAGUC
rnacentral:rRNA from 1 species